rnacentral:lncRNA from 1 species
AUAUGGCUCUGGAAACUACUUAAUUAUGAGUCCAUACUGAAUAUAUAAAUGACCUAUUCUUUUGACUUCAUAUGUUCUAGACAAGUGACAUUAACCAAAGGAUCUGGAUUAGAUCUUUGUAAUCAUACGUAACUGUUGUCAUCAAAAGAGUUUAGAUUGCCUUGUAGACCACUGGAAAUCUAACUAAUUUUAGAUACUUUUGCAUUGUAAAUCUUUGACUUCUUGCACCCUUUUUAAUCAUAAAACACGGAUACCAAAGCAGGUAUAUUUGCAGGUCAAAAGGAGUGGAUAACCACAGAAAGGAAAGAACACAGCAAUAUGGCUAUCUUUUUAUUUUCAAGACUACUAAGUGUUUCCUAGUAAAUGAUGUUCACCUUUA